UACAGAGGUCCCGAGCGUUGUUCGGAUUCACUGGGCGUAAAGGGUGCGUAGGUGGUGAGGAAAGUCGGAUGUGAAAUCUCCGGGCUUAACCCGGAAACUGCAUUGGAAACUACCUUGCUAGAGGUUUUGAGGGGGGACUGGAAUUCUCGGUGUAGCAGUGAAAUGCGUAGAUAUCGAGAGGAACACCAGUGGCGAAGGCGGUUCUCUGGGAAUGUCCUGACGCUGAGGAGCGAAAGUGUGGGGAGCGAACAGG
rnacentral:rRNA from 1 species